UGGCGAGGCCGCGGCUUCCCCCGCUACUACCGCCUGCUCCACCUCGUUGGACCCGGUUCAUGCCGCGCGGGAACUCGAAGAUUCAACAGCGGAGGAGAUCCUGUCCACUAGAGCAGUGCUUCUCAACUUGUGGUCACAACCUCGGGUGAGGCCAUGAUGUUGUCACAGACGGUUCACAAAGACUUGAAAAAAGUUAUGAUUUAAAUCUGGAGUUAAGUCUUGGGCAUGCAUCCAGAUAGGAGGAAAACUGCUUUUCCAGUUUCAAAGAAGUGAUUGUUAUUGGAUCUCCUAACCUCAGUGAAUUCCUCAUGGACACACUUCAUGGACACACUUAAAUGAGGACACACCUCAUGGACACACUUAAAUCCCACAUUAGGGAUUUACUGGCACCUAAAGACUUGUGGCUUUAAUCACUGCCCAAUGCUGCAAAGCCAAAAUUGCACGGAAAGAAGAAUUGUCUUGCAGCAACUAUCUUCAAAGCCAAUACAAAGUUUGGAAGCCCGCACAACAGAUAAAAUAAAAUAAAUGGCAAUUUUUAUUUAACUAUCCUAGGACAUUGGGGCAAAAACACCACAGAGAGUACUAUGUAUUUUUUAUACAGGCUGAUGGGAUAUUCAAAUGAUUUACCAGGAUGAAAUCUUUAUUUUAAAAAAGGUAUUACAAAUGGUCAACUUAUAACCAUUUGUUUAAUGUUCCUCUGAAAUUAUAAACAAACUAGAAAAAAAGUGAUUUAUGACUGAUCCUUAUACUUAUGACCGUCACAGCAUCUCCAUGGUCACAUAGUUAAAAUUCAGGCUCUUGGCAAUUGGCAUGUGUUUAUGAUGGUAGCGGCAAGCCAGGGUCAUGAGAUCAUCAUCUGCAGACAUCUUAGCCAUGGAUGGAAUUUUACCAGUUCGGACUGAUUCGGGAGAACCAGUAACUCCAACGAUCAGGUGGGCCUGCCCUCCCGCCCCUGUGCUUCACUGACCUAUAUCUCCUCAGCUGAUUUGCGCGACAGAAUGGAUUACUGCGCUUCAGCUGUGUUACUCCCCAGCAGUAACGCGGAAAGUAUGUUUUCUUAAAAUUGUGCACAUGCACUCAGCACGUGUCAGGCGCGCGCGAUCAUUGAACCAGUUGUUAAACCAGCAGGAUCCCACCACUGUUCCUAGCUGGCUUCUUACAAGCAAAGUUUGUAAUAAGGGGAGAUGAAUUUGUUUAAUUAUCAUACAAUUUGCUUAAUAACUGCAGUGAUGUGCUCAACAAUUAUGGCAAAAAGGUUGUAAAAUCUGGUAUAAUUCACUUAACAACGGUCUUGCUUGCUGGUGGAAAUUCUGGUACCAGUUAUGAUUACAAUUCAAGGACUACCUGUAUUUAAAAAUUGGAAUAAUAUAGCUGAUAUAAUUGUGGUCAUGAGGAAUAGAGUAGCAUCCAUUUUCUCUGUAAUAAUGGUGUUUAUUAAAGAAGAAUAGCUGUGUAGUUCAUUCACUAAUCUAUAAAUAUAAAAGCCAAAUACCACUCACCCAUCAUGAAAUCUUCAGAACUGUAAAGCCUACAAAUUUGAA